rnacentral:rRNA from 1 species
AGAACGAACGCUGGCGGCAGGCCUCAAACACGCAAGUCUAGGGGGUGUAGCAAUACAUCACCGGCGGACGGGUGCGUAACGCGUGGGAAUGUACCUAUUGGUUCGGAACAACUGAGGGAAACUUCAGCUAAUACCGGAUGAGCCCGAAAGGGGAAAGAUUUCUCGCCAAUAGAUCAGCCCGCGUCCGAUUAGCUAGUUGGUGGGGUUAAAGCCUACCAAGGCGACGAUCGGUAGCUGUUCUGAGAGGAAGAUCAGCCACACUGGGACUGAGACACGGCCCAGACUCCUACGGGAGGCAGCAGUUGGGAAUCUUGGACAAUGGGGGAAACCCUGAUCCAGCCAUGCCGCGUGAGUGAUGAAGGCCUUCGGGUUGUAAAACUCUUUCGACGGGGACGAUAAUGACGGUACCGUAGAAGAAGCUCCGGCUAACUUCGUGCCAGCAGCCGC